rnacentral:tRNA from 1 species
UCCUCGUGGCCUAAUGGAUAAGGCGUGUGACUUCUAAUCACAAGAUUACGGGUUCGAGUCCCGUCGAGGAUUU